AGAAAAUAAUCUAAUACUCCGAAUAUUUAUAGAUUUCCUAUUAAAUGAAUUAAUCAAAUAGGGUUAGUCGAAGUCUAAAAAUAAAUAAUAAGUUUAUUUGAUGGAUAAUAAGUUAACAUUCUUAUACUAUAAUAAACUAAAUUUAUAUUGAAUUUUAAUUAGAUUGUUCUAAUUAACUAGAAAUAUUCAAUUUAAAAUGUUUAUUUAUAUUCGUAUUAAAUCUGACACAAGUAAAUAGGUAGAAAAUAUACUAAGGAGGUGAAUAAAUUUUCUUUAAGGAACUAGGCAAAAUUAUUCUGUAACUUAGGGACAAAGAAUGCUUUUAAAGUAUAACAUACUAGGCUCAAACGACUGUUUAUCAAAAACACAGGUUCUUGCUAAAUUUAAUAAUGAUGUAUAAGAACUGACUCCUGCCCAGUUCUAGUAAGUUAAAAAGAAAUAUUACUAUUAUAUAUUUUUUUAAGCUCUAGUUAAACGGCGGCUGUAUUCAUAACGGUCCAAAGGUAGCGAAAUUCCUUGUCGGGUAAGUUCCGACCUGCAUGAAAGGAGUAACGAUUUGAGCGCUGUCUUAAAGAAAAUUUCAAUGAAAUAAUAAUGUCUGUGAAGAUACGGACUAUUUACACAAGGACAGAAAGACCCUAUGAAGCUUUACUAUAAUUUAUAAGUAUAAUUUAUAUACUAUUUAUGUAGAAUAUAUGGUCAAAAUAUUAAUUUAUUUUUAUAAAUGAAAUACCAUUUUUAUAGUUAUUAAAUUAUUAAUAAUGUUAAAUAUAAAUAUUUAAUUAAAUAUUUAUAAAUCUGAUAGUUUUACUGGGGCGGUGUCCUCCUAAAUGGUAACGGAGGAGAACUAAGGGUAUUUAAUUAAUAUCUAUAAAGAUAUUAAAAAAUUUUAAAGAAAAAUAAUACCUUAACUGUUAAAUAAACUUAUUAUACAGAAAUUAACGUUGGUCUUAAUGAUCCGAUAAAUAAAAUUAAUAGAUGUAUUAUCGAUAAACGAAUAAAAGUUACUCUAGGGAUAACAGGCUGAUCUCUCUCGAGAGAUUUGAUAUUGACGGGGAGGUUUGGCACCUCGAUGUCGGCUUAUCGCAUCCUGAAGCUGAAUAAGGUUUCAAGGGUUGGUUUGUUCACCCAAUAAAGCGGUACGUGAGCUGGGUUCAGAACGUCGCAAGACAGUUUGGUCCAUAUCCGGUGUAAAUUAAUAAAACAUUGCGAUAAUUCUUUUUAGUACGAGAGGAAUAAAAGAACUAUAUUAAUUGUGUGCUAGUUAUUUAAUUUUUAUUAAGUAUUCUAUUAGGUAGCAACAUAUAGGUAGAAAAUAAUUGCUGAAAAAAUAUAAGCAAGAAUGUGCAUUUAAAUAUGUUUUAAAAAAAUAAAAAAUUAUUUAUAAACAAAUAAUUACAAUAUAAAAUAUAGUGUAAGUACAGAGAUGUAUUUAGCUGUAUAUUUAUAAAUUUAAAUUUUUAAUUAU
rnacentral:rRNA from 1 species